rnacentral:rRNA from 1 species
AACGAACGCUGGCGGCAUGCCUAACACAUGCAAGUCGAACGAAACCUUCGGGUCUAUUGGCGCACGGGUGCGUAACGCGUGGGAACCUUCCCUUAGGUUCGGAAUAACUCCCCGAAAGGGGUGCUAAUACCGGAUAAUGUCUUCGGACCAAAGAUUUAUCGCCUUUGGAUGGUCCCGCGUUGGAUUAGCUAGUUGGUAGGGUAAAAGCCUACCAAGGCGACGAUCCAUAGCUGGUCUGAGAGGAUGAUCAGCCACACUGGGACUGAGACACGGCCCAGACUCCUCCGGGAGGCAGGAGUGGGGAAUAGUGGAAAAUGGGCGAAAGCAUGAUCCAGCAAUGACGGGUGAGUGAUGAAGGCCUGAGGGUUGUAAAGCUCUUUUAACCGGGAUGAUAAUGACAGUACCGGGAGAAUAAGCUCCGGCUAACUCCGUG